rnacentral:rRNA from 1 species
GAUGAGCGCUGGCGGCAGGCUUAACACAUGCAAGUCGAACGCAUCCUUCGGGGUGAGUGGCAGACGGGUGAGUAACGCGUGGGAACGUGCCCUUCAGUUCGGGAUAACCCAGGGAAACUUGGGCUAAUACCGGAUACGUGCGAGAGCAGAAAGAUUUAUCGCUGAAGGAUCGGCCCGCGUCUGAUUAGCUAGUUGGUGGGGUAAUGGCCCACCAAGGCGACGAUCAGUAGCUGGUCUGAGAGGAUGAUCAGCCACAUUGGGACGGAGACACGGCCCAAACUCCUACGGGAGGCAGCAGUGGGGAAUAUUGGACAAUGGGCGCAAGCCUGAUCCAGCCAUGCCGCGUGAGUGAUGAAGGCCUUAGGGUUGUAAAGCAUUUUCGUCCGGGACGAUAAUGACGGUACCGGAAGAAGAAGCCCCGGCUAACUUCGUGCCAGCAGCCGCCGUAA